CAGAGGGGGCAAGCGUUGUUCGGAAUUACUGGGCGUAAAGGGCGCGUAGGCGGCCUUCUAAGUCGAACGUGAAAUCCCUGGGCUCAACCCAGGAACUGCGUCCGAUACUGGGAGGCUUGAAUCCGGGAGAGGGAUGCGGAAUUCCAGGUGUAGCGGUGAAAUGCGUAGAUAUCUGGAGGAACACCGGUGGCGAAGGCGGCAUCCUGGACCGGUAUUGACGCUGAGGCGCGAAAGCCAGGGGAGCAAACGGG
rnacentral:rRNA from 1 species